UUGUAUCUGACCACCCUGGCG
rnacentral:misc_RNA from 1 species